AAAGACAAUGGCACGCUCUAACUUGUAUUAGACCACUGAAUCUAUAGAACACAAAGGAGCCUGAGAAACGGCUACCACAUCCAAGGAAGGCAGCAGGCGCGCAAAUUACCCACUCCCGACCCGGGGAGGUAGUGAC
rnacentral:ncRNA from 1 species